rnacentral:rRNA from 1 species
UACGGAGGGUGCAAGCGUUAUCCGGAAUCAUUGGGCUUAAAGGGUCCGCAGGCGGUCUUCUAAGUCAGUGGUGAAAGCCUACAGCUCAACUGUAGAACUGCCAUUGAUACUGUAAGACUUGAAUUCGAUCGAAGUGGGCGGAAUAUGACAUGUAGCGGUGAAAUGCUUAGAUAUGUCAUAGAACGCCGAUAGCGCAGGCAGCUCACUAGGUCUGGAUUGACGCUCAGGGACGAAAGCGUGGGGAGCAAACAGG